CUUGUAAAUCAGAACCAUCAUCCGUGUUUUUACUCAGUCGAACAGAAUACUGCUUACAACAUAUUGGCGACGAUGAUCCAAGAACAUACCAGGCGGAUUUGCAUGAAGUUUUAUCGCACCAUCGACAGUAUCUCACAAUGAAUAAAAUAUCUCCUCCGCCACCAUUUCUGUCUACAACAAGCCUGCCAUCUUAGUCAUGGGGACUCUGGGCUGAAACUUUGGAAAAUUUUUUACUUGCCAUCAAUCAAGUUCAAUCAACUCAGCAUCAUCGGGGGUUCUAAUCUUAAGGAGGCGACCAGACGGGUGAUGUCUCAGACCAUAUCCCACAAUGUUGCUCUGAACCUUAAUUGGGCAGGGAGGAAGGGCUGGAAAGGUCAGCAGACUGAACCGAAGAGAGCAUUUGGUGGUCUGCGCCUAUGCGCUGCAAUGAAAAAAGCGAUGCUGAAGAACGUUGCCUUCAAAACAACAGAAGACCAGGUCGAGAGAGAAAUGAUGAUAUGGCUUCGCAACGCCUGCGACAGGCAUGGGGGCAGGAAGAGGCGCGCUCAGUCUCAAGCCACUGUGUCAGUAGUGACUGUUUCGGAAAACAGCGAAAUCGCCGAAAAUGAACUUUAAUCGGUCCGAGCUAUUUUCCUGUGCUUGAUUUAAGAGUCAACUCUUUUUGUACCAUUGGUGCAGGUGGGAUCAAUUAAACUAUUUG